rnacentral:rRNA from 1 species
AACGAACGCUGGCGGCAGGCCUAACACAUGCAAGUCGAGCGCCCCGCAAGGGGAGCGGCGGACGGGUGAGUAACGCGUGGGAACGUACCCUUUGCUACGGAAUAGCCUCGGGAAACUGGGAGUAAUACCGUAUGUGCCUUUCGGGGGAAAGAUUUAUCGGCAAAGGAUCGGCCCGCGUUGGAUUAGGUAGUUGGUGGGGUAAUGGCCUACCAAGCCGACGAUCCAUAGCUGGUUUGAGAGGAUGAUCAGCCACACUGGGACUGAGACACGGCCCAGACUCCUACGGGAGGCAGCAGUGGGGAAUCUUAGACAAUGGGCGCAAGCCUGAUCUAGCCAUGCCGCGUGAGCGAUGAAGGCCUUAGGGUUGUAAAGCUCUUUCAGUGGGAAGAUAAUGACUGUACCCACAGAAGAAGCCCCGGCUAACUCCGUGCCAGCAGCCGCGGUAAU